AUGGUUCUUCAGAGAUCAGCGCAGGUUUGUUUUGCUUCCCCCUUCAUUCUUAAGCAAUCAGCAGCCUUGCUUUCAGCAGGUGGGCUCACAGCAGCUGGGCUCACAGAUGGGCUCAAUGCAGGUGGGCUGGCAGCAGCAGGCUGGGCGGCAGCAGGACUGUCCACAGUAGGAUGGGCGGCAGCAGGAGGCCUGGGCAUAGUACAGCUGGCAGCAGGACGGGGGUGUGCAGCUCACCACACAGCAGGGAGGCAGGCUGGUGCCCUCCACGCGGCAGUCAGGGCGGCACCACCUGGUGCGGCUGCUCACAGCUCCGCUGCUACCCACCUGGCCAUAGCCAAUGCUGCCACCUAUGCCACAGCCUGUCUCACAGCCACUGGUCUGGAGGCAGGUUGGGUGGCAGCAGCUGGUCUGGAUGGAGGUUGGCUGGCAGCAGCUGGUCUGGAUGGAGAUCGGUUGGCAGCAGCUGGUUUUGAUGGAAGUUGGCAAGUAGAUGCCAGAUUUACAGAGACUUGGGGUAGUUGGUCAGAAGUAACUGGAGUCACCACUGGCUGGCUUGCCGAAACCUGUCACACAGCAAGCUGGCUGGCAGGAAGGGGGUUUGCAGCCACUUUGAUUGCAGAAAGUGGGUUCACCACUAGUUGGUUGGCCAGAAAUCACGGUGCCACAGGAAGCUGGUUUGCAAAAGUUGUUUACAGAACAAGGGGGCUGUCUGUUAGCCGCUGGCUGGCAGAUGAAGGAUGUGCAUGGUGCUGGUUGGUAGUGAAGUGUCUGGCAAGGGAAGGUCACACAGCAUGCAGGACUGCAAGACCUGAACACACAAGCAGACAGCUGGCAGGGAACUGGUAUACAGGGAAUCGUUUGGCAAGGCUUCAAAAUGUAGCAGAUCGGUUGGUAAUAAAAUGAUUUGCAAGGCUGAUCUUCACCACGAAUGGGCUGACAUGAACCCACAUGGCAGCAAGUUGGUUGGCACAGACUAGCCGCACAGACAUUUGGUAGGCAAGAAGUUUCAGGACAGGAAGUGACUUCAGGGCAGGCUGGCUGACAGGACCCAGCAUCACAGCAGACUGACUGGUCACAAGCUGCCUGGCACGACUCAGAUGUGUAGACACAUUCCUGGCAAGAGCUUUGCUGGCAGGGGCCGGGUUCACAGCACUUUGCUGAACUGCCGGUAGAUUCCAAACAGGAGGGCUGGCAUGAGCUAACUGGACCAGGAGACUGACCGGUGCCAGUUUCACAGCAGGCCGUGUAGGAGCAAAUGGGUUGGCAUACAAAACCCACACAAGAAGUUGCUGGAAGGCAGGUUGGUUGGCAAGAAGCAGGUUCACAGCCACUUGGGGCACUGCCACAUGGCUGACAGUUUUCUUGGCAUGUAACCAGUUGCCAUGUUCUGCUCCGACAGGAACUAGGCAAACAGAUACCAUGCUGGAAACUGCCACCACUGGAGCAUAUGGAGGUGGUGGGCACAGCUGGGAUGGCAGUGGCAUUUCCAAGGCAACAGCUGUCCCCCAUGGUGCCAGUGCUAACCCUCUCAGGAGGCUGCAACCUCAGUAUACCUGAGUUUGAAAAGCAUCUAAUACAUAAGGGCUUUUAUAGUCCUUUGCUAGGGGUGUUGGCACAAUAGAGCAUCUUUCCUUGUUAUUGUUUCCACCCAUUUGCAUAUAGACAUCUGAUUAGCAGGCUUCAGGAGCCUGGGAGACAUCAUUCCCCAUUUAAGAAUUUGUCUGUUCAGAGAAAAACCUCAUAAUCCAAAAAGAAACAUGGACCCCAGCGUUCACUGCAGCACCAUUUACAAUAGCCAGGUCGUGGAAGCAGUCUAAAUGUUCACCAAUAGAGCAAUGGAUAGAGAAGAUGUACAUAUAUGCAGUGGAAUAUUGCUCAGCCAUGAAAGGAAUGAACUUGUGCCACUUGCAGAGACGCAGAUGAACUUAGAGACUGUCAUUAUACAGUGAAGUAAGUCAGAAAGAGAAAAACAAAUAUUGUAUAUUAACACAUAUAUGUUGAAUCUAGAAAAUGGUAUGUACUUAGUCGUUCAGUCGUGUCCGACACUGUGACUCCAUGGACUGUAGCCUGCCAGGCUCCUCUGUCUAUAGAGAUUCUCCAGGCAAGAAUACUGGAGUGGGUUGCCAUGCCCUCCUCCAGGGAAUCUUCCCAACCCAGGGAUCAAACCCAGGUCUCCCGCACUGCAGGCAGAUUCUUUACCACCUGAGCCACCAGGGAAGGCCAGAAAAUGGUAUAGGUGAACUUAUUUGCAAAGCUGAAAUAGAGACACAGACAUAGAGAAUAAAUAUAUGGAUACCAGAGGGGAAAGGAAUAGGUGGGAUGCAUUGAGAGAUUGGGAUGGAUAUACACGCACUGCUGCAUAUAAAAUAGAUAGCUAAUGAGAACCUAACUAUAUAGCACUGGGAACUGUGCUCAGUGCUCUGUGGUGACCAAAUGGGAAGGAAAUCCAAGGAAGAGGGGAUAUAUAUAUAUAUACCUGUGGCUGAUUUACUUUGCUGUACAGCAGAGACUAACACACCAUUGUAAAGCAACUAUACUAUAAUUGAAACAAACAAAAAAACUCAUCUGUUGAGUUGGGGAGUUUUCAUAGCCGAGUUUGGGUUCCUUGCUGCUGUGUCUGCUCUGAGCUAAGCCUGUCUCUUUUAUAGCUUGUUCUCCAGCCUC
rnacentral:lncRNA from 1 species